UACAGAGGUCCCAAGCGUUGUCCGGAUUGACUGGGCGUAAAGCGCACGCAGGCGGUUGCGCGCGUGGGGUGUGAAAUCUGGCCGCUUAACGGCCAGGCGCCAUCCCAUACGGCGCGACUGGAGUGAUGCAGAGGUCGAUGGAAUUGCCGGUGUAGUGGUGAAAUGCGUAGAGAUCGGCAGGAACACCCAGGGGGAAACCAGUCGACUGGGCAUCUACUGACGCUGAGGUGCGAGAGCGUGGGGAGCGAACCGG
rnacentral:rRNA from 1 species